rnacentral:rRNA from 1 species
CCUACGGGCGGCAGCAGUCGAGAAUCAUUCACAAUGGGGGAAACCCUGAUGGUGCGACGCCGCGUGGGGGAAUGAAGGUCUUCGGAUUGUAAACCCCUGUCAUGUGGGAGCAAAUUAAAAAGAUAGUACCACAAGAGGAAGAGACGGCUAACUCUGUGCCAGCAGCCGCGGUAAUACAGAGGUCUCAAGCGUUGUGCGGAAUCACGGGGCGUAAAGGGUGCGUAGGCUGUUUCGUAAGUCGGGGGUGAAAGGCGCGGGCUCAACCCGCGGACGGCACAUGAUACUGCGAGACUAGAGUAAUGGAGGGGGAACCGGAAUUCUCGGUGUAGCAGUGAAAUGCGUAGAUAUCGAGAGGAACACUCGUGGCGAAGGCGGGUUCCUGGACAUUAACUGACGCUGAGGCACGAAGGCCAGGGGAGCGAAAGGGAUUAGAUACCCCAGUAGUC